rnacentral:rRNA from 1 species
GAUGAACGCUGGCGGCGUGCCUAACACAUGCAAGUCGAACGGAGAUUACGGACGGAAGUUUACGGAUGGAAGACUGUAAUUCUUAGUGGCGGACGGGUGAGUAACGCGUGGGCAACCUGCCCUAUACAGGGGGAUAGCAGCUGGAAACGGCUGGUAAGACCGCAUAAGUCGGUUAAAUCGCAUGAUUUGAUCGGGAAAUGAGCAAUCAGGUAUAGGAUGGGCCCGCGUCCGAUUAGCCAGUUGGCAGGGUAAAAGCCUACCAAAGCGACGAUCGGUAGCCGGACUGAGAGGUCGGACGGCCACAUUGGGACUGAGACACGGCCCAAACUCCUACGGGAGGCAGCAGUGGGGGAUAUUGCACAAUGGAGGAAACUCUGAUGCAGCGACGCCGCGUGAGUGAAGAAGUAUUUCGGUAUGUAAAGCUCUAUCAGCAGGGAAGAUGAUGACGGUACCUGACUAAGAAGCCCCGGCUAACUACGUG